GUAGUAGUAGUAGUAGUAGUAGUGUAUAGAUAUUAAAAGGGUUUAGAAUAGUUAGGUAGGAUUAUAUAAGUUAUUGUGAAGUAAUAUUUUUUUAUUUAGUUAAAGUUAAUAAAAGAUUUUUUUUUUAGGUUAAUUUAGAAGAGAUUACGGAAGAGGUAAAGAAAUUUAAAAUUUAUUAGUAAAGGUAGUUUAAUUUUUUAAGAAAUUUUGUGUUAGGUAUAAUAUUUUUUUUU
rnacentral:misc_RNA from 1 species